AGCUCGAUUGCUGGAAAGAAAAGAGGGGGCAGAUGCAGGGGCAGAAAACAAAAGUGAAAUUGACAACAAGGGCAACAUGGAAAGGGCUGUGCUUUCGGCGCGAGAUCAUUCAAAGUCAGGUGGCGGCUUCACUUUCGUUUUCAUCUCAACCUAUUACAAAAUAACCAAUACCAAUUCACAUGCACAUGCGAGUAACUGAACAUUCACAAAGACAACUGAGGGAAAAAGGAGCGAAAAAGCCACCUGCGAACAGGUGUAGGAAACCCCCAGCAAUCAAUCCACCGGGUGAAAGGUAGACUCCCUGCUAUCGACAUAUUGUGGUAUUUCUACUAAAAAACCAACAGAUUCGAAGACAACUAAAAGCGGGAGCUUCAUGGCAGAGAUAAUGUUGACAAUCUGUAGAUCUCGGCGACUUUUUUGUUAGCUGCACGGAAGUCUGCUCCCUGAAUUUCGCCGGGAACACUCGCAGUGUACAUCAGAUGCAGCGCAAUGAGCACAUAGAAAAUUGCUAUUAUCACCAACGGAAUGGCAUAGUAGACUAGGAAGUGCAACAAGACCAUUGUCUUGGCAUAGUUUGUGCCCCAAGCAUCCGGAUAGGGAUAGCAGAUGACAAUCGACUUUUCCUGGCUAAUGCUAAGAUGCUGCAAGAGUUGCAAAAGUGAAAUUAAUUUUACGAGUUGCGGAUUAUUAAGGCAAAACGUGCCUUGAGAUUGCUUCCGAUAAGGGCUGGGAGACCGCAUAAAAUGGCCAAGAGCCAAAUGGAAACCGCUAUGGCCAAGGUCAUGCGUG